rnacentral:lncRNA from 1 species
AGGUUGUGAGCAGAUCGUUUUGUCGCCGGAAUGCUAAUCCCGGCAAGAACCACGCCGACGACGUCGCUGGAACGCCGGCGGAGGAGGUCGCCGCGGGUUGCCAGCAAACGAGAGAGGAAUCGUUGGGGAUAAAAAUAUCCGGGAACGACCAGUUGGAAAAUGGUUAAUCCAAACCGUUUAUCUGAAAACGAAUGGCGAAUAUCGAUGAGAAAAAUUAUAUUUAUACUUGAAUUCAUUUAUACGGAAUAAGAGAGAACGGCAGCAAAAACGGAAUAAUUACUCUUUAAAAUGAAUCUAUGGGAACAAAAAAUAAUAUGGG